rnacentral:tRNA from 1 species
GGGUGAUUAGCUCAGCUGGGAGAGCACCUCCCUUACAAGGAGGGGGUCGCGUUCGAUCCCGUCAUCACCC